GUGUCAGCAGCCGCGGUAAUACGGAGGGUGCGAGCGUUGUCCGGAAUCAUUGGGCGUAAAGGGCGCGUAGGUGGCGGGACAAGCGUGCGGUGAAAGCCUGGGGCUCAACCCCGGGUCGGCCGUGCGAACUGUUUUGCUUGAGCACUGUAGAGGCAGGCGGAAUUCCGGGUGUAGCGGUGGAAUGCGUAGAGAUCCGGAAGAACACCGGUGGCGAAGGCGGCCUGCUGGGCAGUAGCUGACACUGAGGCGCGACAGCGUGGGGAGCAAACAGGAUUAGAUACCCCCGUAGUCC
rnacentral:rRNA from 1 species